rnacentral:rRNA from 1 species
AUGAUUAUGUUUGAAAAACACUCGGAGACAAAGGUGCUGCAUAUGAUUAUUGCAUAUUGUGAUCCCUCGGAACCAUAUGAGCCUAUCACCGAGUGGGAUGAACCUAACAGCAAUAUAGAACCUGAGGAUGAUACUUACCUUCGCAACCCAAGACCUGAGAAUGAGCAUGUUGGUGUUGAUGAGGAGAAUAUGUAUGAAGUGGACGAACCUAUGCCCUUAGAUGUGGUUCUUUGUCGUAAUAAAGAAAAUGAUGAUGAAGUAGAGGCGUCUGAAGUAGAGGAGUCUGAAGUAGAGGACGAUGAAGUAGGGGAGUCUGAAGUAGAGGAUGAUGAAGUAGAGGAGGAUGAGGAGUUCCAUGAGGCAGAGCAUACUCCACAUGUAGAGUAUGACAAAUUAGACCCUCCAAUGACAAAAGGCUUUACAUAUCCCAGCAUGAAAGAGUUCAAGUUGGCACUUUCUCAGCAUGCAAUCAAACAUGAAUUUGAGUAUAACACCGAGUAUAGUACACCUCAUCGGUUUAGGGGCUAUUGUUCAAGAUGA